AUCUGAGAUGAAGGGAAAACAGUUCUGAUACUACAGAGGACAGGAGCAAGGUGCUGUUUGACAAGCUGGGUAUCGGAGCGAUGGCAACUGAGCAGAAAAGAGCAACAAGUGUGAGAGGCGGCCUUGGGUGUUCCAGCAGGAAGGGCCUACAGCAAGGUUUUGACAAAAAGAAGGAAAAAUGUGACCAGAUAAUUGUACUAUUUUUUUUUAAUUAUUUUUUUCCCCAAGGAAACAAGAGUUCAAGACAGAAGAGCAAAACUGGGUUGCACUACAGAAUAGUUCUAGUAGGGAAACAGUCAAGCCAGCUAAAUGGGACAGCUGAAUCUACAGCGCUGAAGGAAUGGGCUGUCACCCACAAGGCAAUGCCAAGCUUCCACCAGAAGAAGCUGGGGACUGCUGGAUGGAUGUAGCAGUGGCUGAGCUUCCAGCCCUGCUUUCCUAGCCAGGCAGGCAGUUAGGUACAGGAGUGCUGACAUCCUUUGCUGG
ensembl:lncRNA